rnacentral:rRNA from 1 species
AUACGUAGGUGGCAAGCGUUAUCCGGAUUUACUGGGUGUAAAGGGCGCGUAGGCGGCGCGGAAAGUCUGGAGUGAAAGUCCUGCUUUCAAGGUGGGAAUUGCUUUGGAUACUGCCGCGCUUGAGUGCAGGAGAGGUUAUCGGAAUUCCCGGUGUAGCGGUGAAAUGCGUAGAGAUCGGGAGGAACACCAGUGGCGAAGGCGGGUAACUGGACUGCAACUGACGCUGAGGCGCGAAAGUGUGGGGAGCAAACAGGAUUAGAUACCCUGGUAGUCCACACUGUAAACGAUGAAUGCUAGGUGUAAGAGGUAUCGACCCCUUUUGUGCCGGAGUCAAAACAAUAAGCAUUCCGCCUGGGGAGUACGGCCGCAAGGUUGAAACUCAAAUGAAUUGACGGG